GAGGAAUAUUGGUCAAUGGACGAGAGUCUGAACCAGCCAAAUCGCGUGAAGGAAGACUGCCCUACGGGUUGUAAACUUCUUUUGUACAGGAAUAAAAGACAUUACGUGUAAUGUAUUGCAUGUACUGUACGAAUAAGCAUCGGCUAACUCCGUGCCAGCAGCCGCGGUAAUACGGAGGAUGCGAGCGUUAUCCGGAUUUAUUGGGUUUAAAGGGUGCGCAGGCGGGAUUUUAAGUCAGCGGUGAAAUUUUCAGGCUCAACCUGAACACUGCCGUUGAAACUGGGAUUCUUGAGUAUGGAUGAAGUAGGCGUAAUUCGUUGUGUAGCGGUGACAUGCUUAGAUAUAACGAGGAACUCCGAUUGCGUAGGCAGCUUACUAAGCCAUAACUGACGCUCAAGCACGAAAGCGUGGGGAUCAAACA
rnacentral:rRNA from 1 species